rnacentral:misc_RNA from 1 species
UCUCGAUGCUGCGUUUGUGUUUAUGAAGCGUAAGCGAUCGCAAAUACUAGGCUAGCUGCCGAGAGAGCCGUAGUAUCCCGCAGAAAAGCUGGCUAUGUCAGCUGUAUUACAGAAGCCAAAAAUGGCUUCGCAAAUUGCUGAAGACGGUCCGAAAAUUGGAUCUGUCUUGCCGGUCGAAGUAGAACAAGCUCUCCCAGAUCUGCUAAUGGUAUCACUGAAGUCUGGAGGCAAAGUUUUUCGUGGUGUUCUGAUUGACACUAAUUCAGGAGCAUGUCCUGUAGGUGUGCCGGAUACAACCAACCUUGGUUCACGUUUGAAUAAGGAAUUUGGGGUGCAGGUCAUGGACACAGCUGUCAUCCUACCAAAAGAAGAUCCAGGGACAGGGGACACUGCUACAAAAGUAGAGGAUUCAGCCUUGAGCUUUAGACAAUCCUACUUCCAGAAUAUGCCAUUGCCACCCGCAAGACCACUUCUGUUUGGUAAGAAAGAAAAGACACCAGAAAUCAAACAAAAGACAAUCGCUCAUGGAAGGUCCAGACAGUUUCGGUUGCGGCCUCGGCAGUUGCUUUGCAGCAACUGCAAAGGAACUUGUCAGUCAGUUAAAGCAAAGACUGCGACAAGAAACAGAACUGACAAGAGUAGUCUUAAAAAGCGGAAAGCAGAUUCUUCAGGAGAUGUUGUCCGUAAAAAGCCCAGGCCUGACGCGAGAGUCACAACAAAUGGUGGAACUAAUGUGGGUAAAACAAAUGCAGGGGCAUCAAGUUCCCGUCCGUUGAGUACUCCAGCAAAGUCAGAAAACAAGUCUAUCAAGAAAACCAGCCCUGCGAUAAAGAUAUCUUAUGCAACACCUGGGAAAGGACAAAGAUUAAUUGUGAGGAUACCACCUCGCACAAACAAUUUCAAGCAAAGUGCUACCUCUCAAGGGAUAGGAUCUAAGAGCAAGAACAGAGUACUAACUGUUCCAUUAUCACCACUAUCUUCACUUGGUAAGCAUAAAAUUGACUCCCUAACGAAGAGACCGUUGGCGAAUGGGUUGCAUAAUUCACCAGUGAAAACCCAGCAUGACAAAAUAAGGAUUGUAAAGUCCAAAGGAACUUACACAAUUCCUACAGAAAAGUUACCUGUAAGAACUUAUGGCCCUCUCCCGGGGUCACCAAAGAUAGUGAACGGAGGAAACAAACUGGUUGCAAAUGUCACUGUCAAGCCGAUACCAUUACUUAAUGGGUAUCGGUCAGUGAACAGUCCACAGGAGAAAGAGAAACUGCCUUCUGCCCCUAAUAUCUUGCCACCAUUUGAUAUCAGUGAUACAGCCAGUGAUUGUUCAUCUCAUACUAGUAGGGGUUCAAGAAGAGGGAGUAAGAAAGGAAAGCAGAAUGGCUCUAUCAACAACAACAAUUCAGAAUGUGAGUUCGACUCUGAUGCUUCAUCGAAGGAAGCUUCCAAGAAAAUAGAGGAGGUGAAACCCAACAUCCACAAGAAGAAUGUGACAAAGAGCAUCAUGCCUUGUGGCAGGACAGUGUGUGUAGGUGACAUCAUCUGGGGGAAAAUAAGAGGAUUCCCUUGGUGGCCAGGUCGCAUCGUCCAGAUCAUCGUGACACGAAGCAACGAAGGUAGCAUCACUCUGCAGGAGGCUCAGAUCACUUGGUUUGCAUCACGUUCUAUCUCCUUCAUGCCACUCACCACGCUUCCACCAUUCCUGGGGGAGUUCAAGAAGUACUAUGACAAGAAGAGGAAGGGGCUGUACAAGGAGGCUAUCACUCAGGCAACCAAAGCUGCAGAGGCACUGUCCAGUGAAGUACGAGAACUUCAUACUAUGUUUGAAACUCCACUUAACAAAUCCUAACCCAAGUCUCUCAUCCAGGACACUUCUAAGAUAACAUGUUAUUAAUAGUCAAAGAGCUGUUAGCAACAUAUCUCCAAGGGUGUCAUCCAACCUUAUUGUGCAGACUUGGUGAGCAUCAAUCCUGUAAGAUUUCAGCUCUUUGUGUAGAAAACAGUUUGUGAAGUAUCAAUAAUGAUCUGAUUGAUAUACAUGUAGGGCUGGUCUUGAUGUGCAGUAUUAAGAUGGCCUUGUCUCAAGGGAAAUCUGCUUAGAUUUUACAGGUACUUCGACAGCACUAUCAAGUCAUCCUGGAGCCCACGUGUGGAAGACAGCUCUGACCCUCGCUGAGCCUACCUUGACGAGCCGAGUCUACCUCUCCUGUGAAACCGCAGAAGGGGAUUGUCAACCGACCUUGUUAGCUUCCAUCAAACCUCAAGAAUGCAAGGAAUUCCACCAUGAGGAAAGGCUGGUCAAAGUCCACCAUCACUAAAGGAGAGGCAGAUAAUAUCAACCGCAGAGGAAACUAAAGGGGGCGUCGUGGCCUAUCUUCCAUGAGCUUUUGUUUAAUACACAAAUUUCAUUUUGAAAAUAUGAUCUUGGUAUAACUGACCAUUUACAUGUUGAUGCCAUCAAGUUGCAAUUGAUUCUAAUGAGUCAUGAUUUUGAGUUGAUCUCAACUGAUGUUUCUUCAGUUGAAAUGAAUUUGCAAUUGAUAUGAAAUCAAUCACUACUUUUUUACGGUGAGCCCCACAUGUAAUGAUGAUAUCAAUGAUCCCAAGAUAAAGUGAUAUCAAGGUAUUUGAAAUUAGAGAUGAAGAAGAGGAUUGAUGUCUUGAACCUGAUGAUUUGUUUGUAUUUCUACAGAGGGGUCUCGAUUCUUUGCUUCAUUUUCUUUACAAGGUUUACAAUGAAUUCAAACUGCCAGGGAGGUAUAUGAUAGUGUGUUCACUUAUUUAUGGAUUAGAGGGAGAAUUUAUGAUCUCAAGAUUUGUUUUUUUCUCUAUAGAUGGUUCAUCAUACACCACCAAAAGAAUAUUCUGAUAAAUAGAUAAUUCACUUGAAUGAAAGUUUUCAUCUUAGUAUUACAGCAAAGUACAGUAUCAGUUGUAAAAGAAUAGAACACGAUCCAAAUAAGAAAAAUAUGUAGAGUUGAGAAAUUUUGCCCUUUAAAUGUC